rnacentral:snRNA from 1 species
AUUGCUUCUCGGCCUUUUGGCUAAGAUCAAGUGUA